rnacentral:rRNA from 1 species
UACGUAGGGGGCAAGCGUUGUCCGGAAUCAUUGGGCGUAAAGCGCGCGUAGGCGGCCCGGUAAGUCCGUUGUGAAAGUCAAAGGCUCAACCUUUGAACGCCGAUGGAUACUGCCGGGCUAGAGUCCGGAAGAGGCGAGUGGAAUUCCUGGUGUAGCGGUGGAAUGCGCAGAUAUCAGGAGGAACACCGGUGGCGAAGGCGGGUCUCUGGGCCGAUACUGACGCUGAGGAGCGAAAGCGUGGGGAGCGAACAGG